AGAUGACGCUGCGGCGUGCUUAACACAUGCAAGUCGAACGAUGAUCUCCAGCUUGCUGGGGGGAUUAGUGGCGAACGGGUGAGUAACACGUGAGUAACCUGCCCUUGACUCUGGGAUAAGCCUGGGAAACUGGGUCUAAUACCGGAUACGACCGUCCCGCGCAUGCGGUGGUGGUGGAAAGCUUUUGCGGUUUUGGAUGGACUCGCGGCCUAUCAGCUUGUUGGUGGGGUAAUGGCCUACCAAGGCGACGACGGGUAGCCGGCCUGAGAGGGUGACCGGCCACACUGGGACUGAGACACGGCCCAGACUCCUACGGGAGGCAGCAGUGGGGAAUAUUGCACAAUGGGCGAAAGCCUGAUGCAGCGACGCCGCGUGAGGGAUGACGGCCUUCGGGUUGUAAACCUCUUUCAGUAGGGAAGAAGCGAAAGUGACGGUACCUGCAGAAGAAGCGCCGGCUAACUACGUGCCAGCAGCCGCGGUAAUACGUAGGGCGCAAGCGUUAUCCGGAAUUAUUGGGCGUAAAGAGCUCGUAGGCGGUUUGUCGCGUCUGCUGUGAAAGACCGGGGCUCAACUCCGGUUCUGCAGUGGGUACGGGCAGACUAGAGUGAUGUAGGGGAGACUGGAAUUCCUGGUGUAGCGGUGAAAUGCGCAGAUAUCAGGAGGAACACCGAUGGCGAAGGCAGGUCUCUGGGCAUUAACUGACGCUGAGGAGCGAAAGCAUGGGGAGCGAACAGGAUUAGAUACCCUGGUAGUCCAUGCCGUAAACGUUGGGCACUAGGUGUGGGGGACAUUCCACGUUUUCCGCGCCGUAGCUAACGCAUUAAGUGCCCCGCA
rnacentral:rRNA from 1 species